rnacentral:misc_RNA from 1 species
UUUCCGUAGGUGAACCUGCGGAAGGAUCAUUAUCGAGUUAGGGUCUUCUAGGCCCGACCUCCCAACCCUUUGUCUACUUGACCUAAUGUUGCUUCGGCGAGCCCGUCCUUUUGGGGACCGCCGGAGGACCGUAAAAUGUCCUCUGGUCCGCGCUCGUCGGUGGCCAACCACAAAAUCUUUGUUAAAUGUAUCUUCUAAGUCAAAAUUUUUAAUUAAAAGCAAAACUUUCAACAACGGAUCUCUUGGUUCUGGCAUCGAUGAAGAACGCAGC